UAAAUAUAUGGUUUCUGUAGCAAUUUAAAAUUGGAUUCAUAUAGUUUUAAGCACACAACACAUAUGCUAAUUUGAAGGUUCAUCGCAAUGGAACUCUAUAAUGUCUGAGAGGUCCUCUAUAGUUCCAUCGUCAGGCUUCCCAAGUUUAAUCUUUCUCCAAGUUUCCAUAUGGCGGAAGGGAUGUAACACUUCUGAAGUCAUUUGAGUUCCAAGACCUAUAUUCAUGUGGUCAGUUUUUACCGUUUCAAGUUUCAACAGUGGUCACUCCACUUUGGAUCAGCUUGCAUUCAGUUACAUGCCAGUUAAGUUCAAGUUUCUUCGUGCAAGAGCGUGCACCCGAACAUCACCUCUCAAUUUAGCUAUAGAGAUUCUGAAAUGGAGUGAGGAGAGAACAAACAUAUGCGUGAUGUAUACUCUAUGUCCAGUACUUAUCAAGUUCUUCUCAAAUCAGUGUAUUCACAUUAAAAACAAGUCUAAUGUAAAUAGUCACCACUAUCUGGAGUAGAGAUUCUUACACAUUGAUCUUAAUUGUUUGAGAUUCAGUUCAGCGCAUUCAUUUCUUUUUUGAACUUGACCAUUGAAACUCUUCGCAACUAAACCAUGACUUGAACCCCUCUAACCAUCGACUGUUCUCUUUUUUUUUGUGACUAAUCGACUGUUCUAUAAUGAAUGCUGACAUUAACAUUUUAACAAUCUGUGAAACAAAACAACUCAUCCUUCGUAAGUAAUCCUGUUGAGCAGCAUGAAUCAUGAACUAAUAAAAUAUUUUUUUUUUUGUGCAACAUUAGUUAUCUACUUAAUUAACUUCAUUUGGUAACUAAAUGUCUUUUUAAAAAAAAAAAUUCUCUCGCAAGUUAUCAUGUAAAUACCAUAUGUUUUGAACCAAGUGUUGUCCAAGGUUGAGUCCUCACAAAAAGAGUACGAAAUAUGAGGAAACCAUAAGAGAAGACAAAUUAAUACCACAUUAAACAACAACAUGUCAACGUUUUUCAUUUAUGUUCACAAAAAAUUAAAAAAAG